rnacentral:rRNA from 1 species
GAUGAACGCUGGCGGCGUGCCUAAUACAUGCAAGUCGAGCGAACGGACGAGAAGCUUGCUUCUCUGAUGUUAGCGGCGGACGGGUGAGUAACACGUGGAUAACCUACCUAUAAGACUGGGAUAACUUCGGGAAACCGGAGCUAAUACCGGAUAAUAUUUUGAACCGCAUGGUUCAAAAGUGAAAGACGGUCUUGCUGUCACUUAUAGAUGGAUCCGCGCUGCAUUAGCUAGUUGGUAAGGUAACGGCUUACCAAGGCAACGAUGCAUAGCCGACCUGAGAGGGGGAUCGGCCACACGGGACCUGAGCCACGGUCCAGACUCCUACGGGAGGCAGCAGUAGGGAAUCUUCCGCAAUGGGCGAAAGCCUGACGGAGCAACGCCGCGUGAGUGAUGAAGGUCUUCGGAUCGUAAAACUCUGUUAUUAGGGAAGAACAUAUGUGUAAGUAACUGUGCACAUCUUGACGGUACCUAAUCAGAAAGCCACGGCUAACUACGUG